GACGAACGCUGGCGGCGUGCUUAACACAUGCAAGUCGAACGGAAAGGCCCCUUCGGGGGUGCUCGAGUGGCGAACGGGUGAGUAACACGUGGGUGAUCUGCCCUGCACUUUGGGAUAAGCCUGGGAAACUGGGUCUAAUACCGAAUAGGAUCAUGGCCUUAAUGGGUUGUGGUGGAAAGCUUUUGCGGUGUGGGAUGGGCCCGCGGCCUAUCAGCUUUUUGGUGGGGGAAUGGCCUACCAAGGCGACGACGGGUAGCCGGCCUGAGAGGGUGUCCGGCCACACUGGGACUGAGAUACGGCCCAGACUCCUACGGGAGGCAGCAGUGGGGAAUAUUGCACAAUGGGCGCAAGCCUGAUGCAGCGACGCCGCGUGAGGGAUGACGGCCUUCGGGUUGUAAACCUCUUUCAGCAUCGACGAAGCGCAAGUGACGGUAGAUGCAGAAGAAGCACCGGCCAACUACGUGCCAGCAGCCGCCGUAAAAC
rnacentral:rRNA from 1 species